GUUGAAUGCUGGCGGUGCGCCUAAUACAUGCAAGUCGAACGUGAAGCAGGAUUUAUUCUGUGGAAAGUGGCGGACGAGCGAGUAACACGUACGAAUCUGCCCCGAACUCAGGGAUAACUAGCCGAAAGGUUAGCUAAUACCGGAUAGUCUCGUAAGAGUAAAGCUUUUGCGGUUCGGGAGGAGCGUGCGGUCUAUCAGUUUGUUGGUGAGGUAAAGGCUCACCAAGACUAUGACGGAUAGCUGGUGUGAGAGCAUGACCAGCCGCGAUGGGACUGAGACACGGCCCAU
rnacentral:rRNA from 1 species